rnacentral:rRNA from 1 species
UACGGAGGGUGCAAACGUUGCUCGGAAUCAUUGGGCGUAAAGCGCGUGUAGGCGGUUUGUUAAGUCGAGUGUGAAAGCCCUGGGCUCAACCCAGGAAGUGCGCUCGAAACUGGCAAGCUAGAGUACGGGAGAGGGUAGCGGAAUUCCCGGUGUAGAGGUGAAAUUCGUAGAUAUCGGGAGGAACACCAGUGGCGAAGGCGGCUACCUGGACCGAUACUGACGCUGAGACGCGAAAGCGUGGGUAGCAAACAGG